rnacentral:rRNA from 1 species
UACGGAGGGAGCUAGCGUUGUUCGGAAUUACUGGGCGUAAAGCGCACGUAGGCGGAUACUUAAGUUAGGGGUGAAAUCCCGGGGCUCAACCCCGGAACUGCCUUUAAUACUGGGUAUCUCGAGUUCGAGAGAGGUGAGUGGAAUUCCGAGUGUAGAGGUGAAAUUCGUAGAUAUUCGGAGGAACACCAGUGGCGAAGGCGGCUCACUGGCUCGAUACUGACGCUGAGGUGCGAAAGCGUGGGGAGCAAACAGG